CCAGGCUGGGAGGGAAGUGGCUGAGAGCUCACAGGCACCCCCUCAGCCCCCGAGAGGAAGCCCACAGCUGUGGGAAGGGCUGCCACUGUUGCUGCUGCUGCUGAGAGUAUCGUUAUGGACUUGUGCCAGGUGUUUGACCAGGAACUGGAUGCACUGGAAAUUGAGACAGUACAAAGGAAACAAUCCAUCCCCGAAAAUUCUAUAAGAUGAACUCUUCCUGUGCAUAUACUGCUCUUUGCCUCCUAUACAUGGAAUGUCUCCUACCCCUCGUUGCUGGCCAACUCCAAGGAUGUGAUGGACAGCACUACCACUCAGAAGUAUUGGACUGACAUCCAGUUGCGCUGGGGAGAAUAUGAUUCCCAUGACAUUGAGCAUUACUCCCGGGCCAAGUUCCUGGACUACACUACAGACAAUACCAGUAUCUAUCCCUCACCCACAGGUGUACUCAUAGCCAUUGACCUGGCCUAUAACUUGCACAGUGCCUACAGAAACUGGUUCCCAGGCAGCAAGCCUCUUAUACAGCAGGCCAUGGCCAAGAUCAUGAAGGCAAACCCUGCCUGGUAUGUGUUACGUGAAUGGAUCCACAAGGGGCUGCAGCUUUACUCAUCAGAGCCCACUGAGCUUUAUCUCUCCUCUCAGAACUAUGGUGAGCUCUUCUCUAACCAGAUUAUCUGGUUUGUGGAUGACACUAAUGUCUAAAGAGUGACUAUCCACAAGACCUUUGAAGGAAACCUGACAACCAAGCCCAUCUGUGGGGCCAUCUUCAUCUUCAACUCACGGACAGGGCAGCUGUUCCUCAAGAUAAUCCACACAUCUGUGUGGGCUGGACAAAAGCUUUUGGGACAGUUGGCUAAGUGGAAGACAGCUGAGGAGGUGGCUGCCCUGAUCCGAUCCCUGCCUGUAGAGGAGCAGCCCAAACAGGUCAUUCUUACCAGGAAGGGCAUGCUGGAUCCAUUGGAGGUGCACUUGCUGCACUUCCCCAAUAUUGUAAUCAAAGGAUCAGAGCUUCAGCUCCCCUUCCAGGCUUGUCUGAAGGUGGAAAAGUUUGGGGAUUUAAUCCUUAAAGCCACUGAGCCCCAGAUGGUUCUCUUCGACCUCUAUGAUGACCGGCUCAAAACUAUUUCAUCUUACACAGCUUUCUCCUGUCUCAUCUUGAUUUUUUACAAAGAAUGACCAAGCAAAGGUGAUCCUGAAGCCAGAUAAGACUACUAUCGCAGAACCACAUCACAUCUGGCCCACUCUGACUGAUGAGGAGUGGAUCAAGGUGGAGGUGCAGCUCAAGGAUCUCAUCUUGGCCGACUAUGGCAAGAAAAACAAUGUGAAUGUGGCAUCACUGACACAAUAAGAAAUUCGAGACAUCAUCCUGGGUAUGGGGAAUCUCAGCACCAUCACAGCUGAGAUUGAGAAGCAGAUCAAGGAACAGACUCGCACUGUCAACAAGCAUGGUGAUGAGAUCAUCACCUCCACCACCAUCAACUACAAGACUCAGACUUUCUCUUCAAAGACUGAAUGGAGGGUCAGGGCCAUCUCUGCUGCCAAUCUGCACUUGAGGACCAAUCACAUCUAUGUUUCAUCUGAUGACAUCAAGGAGACUGGUUACACUUAUAUCCUUCCCAAGAAUGUGCUUAGGAAGUUCAUCUGCAUAUGACCUUUGGGCCCAAACUGCAGGAUAACUAUAUGGGGUGAGCCCACCGGAUAACCCCCAGGUGAAGGAGAUCUGCUGCAUUAUGAUGGUCCCACAGUGGGGCACUCAUCAGACUGUGCACCUGCCUGGCCAGCUGCCCCAACAUGAGUACCUCAAGGAGAUGGAGCCCUUAGGUUGGAUCCACACUCAGCCCAAUGAGUCCCCCCACCAGGAUGUGACCCCAGGAUGUCACCAGUCACGCCAAAAUCAUGGUUGACAACUCAUCUUGGGAUGGCGAGAAGACCAUUAUCAUCAGCUGCAGCUUCACACCAGGCUCCUGCACACUGACAGCCUACAAGCUGACCCCUAGUGGCUAAGAAUGGAGCUGACAGAACACCCACAAGGGCAACAACCCUAAGGGCUACCUACCCUCACACUAUGAAAGGGUCCAGAUGUUGCUGUCAGACCGUUUCCUUGCCUUCUUUAUGGUCCCUGCCCAGUCCUCAUGGAACUACAACUUUAUGGGUGUCCAGCAUGAUCCUAACAUGAAGUAUGAGCUACAGCUGGCAAACCUCAAAGAGUUCUACCACGAGGUGCACAGACUCUCCCACUUCCUCAGCUUUGCCCUCCUGCAGGAGGGUGAGGUCUGCUCUGCAGACCAUGAAGACGUAUAUGCCUAGUUGUUCCCUCACCUCCUAGACCACACUAGUUCUGUCACUUUGCAAAGGUCUGCCGGGAACAGAAGUUAUGUCUUCCCCUAAGAUAGAGCUACAGCCCAACUUAAGACAGAAGAUUUCUCUAUUUCUUCUUUCCCACUAUAACAAAGCACCAUCCACAGGGUUCAAGAUGGGUCUAUAAUAAGCAAAUAUUUCCUCUUCUCAUCAUCAAGGGAAGAGUAAGUUCACAUAAAGCUUGUCUCUGCGAAAGGCCUCACAGCUAUAAAAUGCCACCAGGCGGCUGAGUGGACAUGGGCCCAAAGAAGGCUGACGCCCAAUUGGUAGCACUCUUGGCUCCACG